rnacentral:rRNA from 1 species
ACUCAAAUGAAUUGACGGGGGCCCGCACAAGCGGUGGAGCAUGGGGUUUAAUUCGUCACUAACCGAAGAACCUUACCCAGGCUUGACAUCCUCGGACCGCCGGUGAAAGCCGGUUUUCCCCGCAAGGGGACCGAGAGACAGGUGUUGCAUGGCUGUCGUCAGCUCGUGUCGUGAGAUGUUGGGUUAAGUCCCGCAACGAGCGCAACCCUCACCGUGUGUUGCCAGCGGAAACGCGCACUCACACGGAACUGCCGGGGCAACUCGGAGGAAGGCGAGGAUGACGUCAAGUCGGCAUGGCCCUUACGCCUGGGGCUACACCCAUGCUACAAUGGGGCGGACAGAGGGCUGCAAGACCGCAAGGUGGAGCCAAUCCCAAAAACCGUCUCUCAGUUGGAAUUGGGGUCUGCAACUCGACCCCAUGAACGUGGAAUCGCUAGUAAACGCCGGUCAGCCAAACGGCGUUGAAUCCGUUCCCGGGCCUUGUACACACCGCCCGU